AGGGGGAGCACAGGAUCCUGGGCUGUGUCCCCCUGCACCCUGGGCUCCAGGGCCUGCGCCACUGGGAUCGUGCUCCCAGGGCGUGCAGCCCCUU
rnacentral:pre_miRNA from 1 species